UACGGAGGGAGCUAGCGUUGUUCGGAAUUACUGGGCGUAAAGCGCACGUAGGCGGCUUUGUAAGUUAGAGGUGAAAGCCCGGGGCUCAACUCCGGAACUGCCUUUAAGACUGCAUCGCUUGAAUCCAGGAGAGGUGAGUGGAAUUCCGAGUGUAGAGGUGAAAUUCGUAGAUAUUCGGAAGAACACCAGUGGCGAAGGCAGCCCCCUGGGUCAAGAUUGACGCUCAUGCACGAAAGCGUGGGGAGCAAACAGG
rnacentral:rRNA from 1 species